UCACCCUAAGGGUUGGUAGCUGAGUUUUAGCAGAGAGAAAGAAAGGCUUGGUGCUUGGUUUGUGAGAGAGUUUUUCAAGAGCUACAAGUGGGUGGUCCAUUUUUCCAUUUUGAACAUGUAGAUCUUUGGAACCAAGGUUCGACUGAUGAGCAUUAGGAUGGAUCUUUGCUUGUGGGUUAGCAUCUUUGAGUGUAGGAGGAUCCCUUUGAGAGUUAUUCAUUGGGUUCUCAUUGGCGGGUUCACUUUCAUCUGGCAUGUACUUUCUUGAUGGUGCGGUUAUUCUACAGAGCUUGGAUAUAUGGAUUAUUCUGAGACUAGGUUUUUCACUUUGGUGUAUUAAUUUGAAUAGACCAAGGUUUAAGGAACUUUUAUGUGUAUUCAGUCAUCUUAUUUACUUACUAUUUACCUUUGAUACUUAUUAACUAAUGUUUGGUGGCCAUGGAGGCUU